AUGAAAUACACGAUUGGAUACAUUAAAUACUGGCAGCAAAUGGGCCUAAUUCUUCUCUGCCGUGUGUCACUGUGGAACAUCUUCGGUGGAGGAACCCAGCUGACCGUCCUUGGUCAGCCAAAGGCAUCUCCCACCGUGCACCUCUUCCCUCCAUCCUCAGAAGAGAUAAAGACAAACAACAAAGCCACACUGGUGUGUCUACUGGACAGCUUUUACCCAGGGUCAGUCCAAGUCACCUGGAAAGCUGACGGCCAGCAGAUCUCCACUGGAGUGGAGACGACCAAACCCUCCAAACAGAGUGACAACAAGUACAUGGCCAGCAGUUACCUGUCUCUGGAUGCAUCAAAGUGGAAGACCCAUGAGACCUACACCUGCCAGGUGACACACGAUGGGAAGAACUUCGAGAAGUCUCUGAAGAGCUCGGAGUGUUCUUAACAGGGUGCUCCGCUGGUUCCCAUGUCAGUCACUAGAGAAUUUCCCAAGGGAGCCAGGAACCAAAAUGCUGAUUUCCAGCAAAACUACUUCCUGUUUUAUGUGAUCCCUUUGAUACCUGCUGUUAUUCCCAUGUUCCCACUGCUCUUGCCCCUCUGCAUUCCCUGAAAAUGUCCUUCCUGCUUCAGCCUCGUUACGAUAUUAAUAAAACCAGAAACAUUCAGCUAUCACUGUGUCUGUGCAGAGUUAAACUUCUCCUGUCCUCUUCACGCUUACUGACUGUAUUUGAACUAUUUACAUUAUCUUCCAAUAAAACAUGUACCUUAUCAUCCAAAUGUU